UGGGGAAUAUUGCGCAAUGGGGGAAACCCUGACGCAGCGACGCCGCGUGGGUGAUGAAGGCCUUCGGGUCGUAAAGCCCUGUCGGGAGGGAAGAAACACUCCGGACCUAAUACGUCCGGGAAUUGACGGUACCUCCUAAGGAAGCACCGGCUAACUCCGUGCCAGCAGCCGCGGUAAUACGGAGGGUGCUAGCGUUGUUCGGAAUCACUGGGCGUAAAGGGCGUGUAGGCGGUCUGGUAAGACAGAUGUGAAAUCCCCGGGCUUAACCUGGGAACUGCAUUUGUGACUGCCAGACUAGAGUGUAGCAGAGGGGGGUAGAAUUCCACGUGUAGCAGUGAAAUGCGUAGAUAUGUGGAGGAAUACCGAUGGCGAAGGCAGCCCCCUGGGCUAACACUGACGCUCAUGCACGAAAGCGUGGGGAGCAAACAGGAUUAGAUACCCUUGUAGUCCCUGAGCGGGCUGGCAAGGCGCAU
rnacentral:rRNA from 1 species